AGAACGUCGUGAGACAGUUCGGUUUAUAUCCGGCAUGAUCGUUAGGAAUUUUGAGAGGAGCUGUCUCUAGUACGAGAGGACCGAGAUGGACGAACCUCUAGUGUGUCGGUUGUGGCCACCUGCCGCAUUGCCGAGUAGCUAUGUUCGGAAUGGAUAAGCGCUGAAAGCAUAUUAAGCGCGAAGCCAACCUCAAGAUAAGAAUUCCCCAUGAGAUCCCAGAAAGAUUAUCUGGUUGAUAGGUGCAAGGUGGAAGUAUGGCAACAUAUGAAGCCGAAGCAUACUAAUAGAUCCAUUGCCUUUUUAUG
rnacentral:rRNA from 1 species